GUGGGGAAUCUUCCGCAAUGGACGAAAGUCUGACGGAGCGACGCCGCGUGAGUGAAGAAGGCCUUCGGGUCGUAAAGCUCUGUCAUCAGGGACGAACGGCCGGUGGAGUGGAAAGCCACCGGAUUGACGGUACCUGAGAAGGAAGCCACGGCUAACUACGUGCCAGCAGCCGCGGUAAUAAGUAGGUGACAAGCGUUGUCCGGAAUUAUUGGGCGUACAGCGCGCGCAGGUGGGAUCUUAAGUCCAUUUUGAAAGUUCGGAGCUCAACUCCGUGAUGGGAUGGCAACUGUGAUUCUUGAGUACCGGAGAGGAAAGCGGAAUUCCCCGUGUAGCGGUGAAAUGCGUAGAUAUGGGGAGGAACACCAGUGGCGAAGGCGGCUUUCUGGACGGUGUCUGACACUGAGGCGCGAAAGCCAGGGGAGCGAACGGGAUUAGAUACCCGAGUAGUCC
rnacentral:rRNA from 1 species